UCCCCCAAGCAAGCAACUGUCAGUGAGUGACCGUUAGUGGGGACACUCAGCCAAGGUCAGUGGAGCAGUGAUCAUCAGGCAGACAGUGAGGUGCACCGAACAGCCUAUGAAUAUCAUCAAUACUAAAGGUUCAUCCCUCUGCUGAGGAAAAAUCCAGUUGAUGAAGAAUGGAUUGUGGAGAGCAUUGCAGCAGUGAUGUGGAAGAGAGCUCAGAGUGCAUUGUGGAGAGCAUUUGCUGCAGUGAUGAAGAAGGGGACGCAGGUAGGAAACAACAUUCAGAUGGAUCUGAUGGGAGAGAAUUCCUGGAACUUUAGAGUUAAACUGCCUGCUUGGAGACUGAGGAAGGUGAACAUGGAAUCAGGAAAAAGGAAAUAUGUGCAGAGCUUUGACUUGUUUCUUUCAUAUUUUAAUGAUAUGAUAGAGAUUGAGUCCUUGGACUUGCACUGUGCUCUGUUUAUAAUCACCUUUUCUUGCUUUGCUCUUCAAAAAUUAUUUUUCCCAUAAAAGCUGCUCUUUCUCGCUUUUGUCACAGACUAGUAUGGAAGCUUGGACUCUGGUCAGCACAUCUGGGGUACUGCGCACUGCAGACUAUGUUUUCUAUUGCAUGUUGAACUAUGAUGGCCAUAUCCUGGUGGGCAUAAAACUCUCACUGCCACUUGA